rnacentral:siRNA from 1 species
UGACUUUCACUAUGGAGCUCGA